GACACAUAUACUCACAGAAAUGAGUUAUUUAAAGAAGACGGUCCAGAUUCCACAGUCCAAAAAAAAAAGAGGUUUGCCCUGCUUCUGAAGGAGUCAGGGUAUGAAUGCAGAGGUCUUCCUGUUGGCUCACAUAUCAGAUCUUCAACGUCAACAUUAAAUGCUGAAAGAACAUCAGUGUAUCAGCACAGCAAAUAUUCCAAAUGCCAGGCUGGAUUCCCUCCAAUUACCAGGACCUCCAGGCUUCUCCUCCUUUCAAGAACUUUCUGACCCUGGAUCCAGUCUAAAUGUUGGUUAUAAACUCACCUGACAUCCACAGGGCCCUUCCAAAAUACUGUCAAGGCUGACUGCUGGUGCCUGGAACCUGCACACCCUCCUGGGACUCUGCAUCUCUGCUGGGGCUGGUUUCUCCUCUGAGCCACCUUAAGGAAUCCCACCCUGACCCGGAAAUACUACGACAAUGGGACUUUGGGAAUGUGUUCUGGAGACUCCACUCCUUGGUGACUACUACAUGGAGCACAGAAAAUUGUCUUGAGUGGCAGCUAUGUGCCAGCAAUACCUGCCUGGCAGAGUUGUGAGAAUUAAAUGAGAUGAUGAAUACAUCUGCUCUCAGCACCACACCACACCUGUGGCAGUCCUCAGAGAGAAGAAUCACAGCUUUCAUUCAUUGAGAGCUCACUAAGUGCCAGAACCAUAGAGCUCAAAGCUUCUCAGCUCAACGGAGAACUCAGCACUUCUUGGACUGAUAAAUAGAGCAGCUUUAAAAUGCUUAGAACUGAAGACAGACCAACUGUGGCGAGAGAAAGUAAACACAUCCAUGCACCAGUCAACCCUAGCAAGCUCCUCGCUGAGAUUACAAACUGCAGUUCCUGCCUGAGCCGGAGAGGAUGCUGGAGCAGGCUG
rnacentral:lncRNA from 1 species